GGGGGGGGGGGUUUUGAGGUUCUCGAUCCUUGAAUAGUGGUUAGUUUUGCUUGUGACGUAGUUGUAUCAACGUGUUGAGCUAAUUAAAAGCCGAGCUUACUUGCUUUCUUCUACUCAGUGUAUUUUCUAUAAGCGAACGCUCUGCACAUCAUCAUUAUCUUCAUCAUCAGCAUUACCAACUGAAUUAUUCUUAAAUUUCGCAAAUUUAAGCCUCGUUAUUGUUAUAAAAUAUAUUCUUAUAAAAAAUAAAGAGUGUAUCCAGACAUUUUGGGGGAUAUUGAGCAGUUUCCGAGAUAUUUAGAAUAUUUAGGGGGAUGUUUAGAAAUAUUCAUAGCUUAAUUUGGCUUCGCUCUGUGUUUUCCUCGCUAUUUCUUGAAACAAUUCUCGGUUCUAUGGUACAAACAAUCCAGUUCAGCGAUUUCUCGCUCGAAAAAUAUAAUUUUAUUCCAUGUCCGCUAAAAGCGCUAAAGCAGCAAUUUUUUCAAAUGGUGGAUGCUGGUAACAUGGAAGCGCCCGAAGCUUCUUCCUCAACGUUAACUCCUACUAAUGCAAGAAAAUUUUGAAACCUUUGGCCUGUGGGAUUCAAAACCGUUGCAUUUGCAGGGAUAUUUAGAGGGCUUUUUUGAAAAUAUUUAGAAAAUUUUAUGCAUGCAAUAUUUAGAACACAUUUUGAGAAAUUCCGGAAUGGUAUUUAGGGCGAUUUUACGUGAUAUUUGUGGAACUAAAGGCCUAAUCAUCAUCAUCAUUAUCAUCAUCAUCAUCUUCAUCAUUUCUUGACACCCUCGCGUCCACCAGUACCCUUAAACAAACACUGUUCUUUGCUAGUGCUUUAACUUGACCCCCACACAGGAACAGCCCACUUGUUCUAAAUCCUGUAGCAUAGAAUGCUUCCAGUUGCUCCUUGGCCGUCUCCUCAGGUCGCUUGCCAGCUGACCGAGCUUGCUUGCCUGAAAUUAAUUCCUCACGUUACCACAGCCAAUCCUUGUUUUGGAUUUCACUGGAGCAAGUUGAUCGGUGUUUGACGGCCCAGUUGGCCGGUGUGACCCAAAGGCUUCAUUCCUGUCCUCGAUGGACUCCUUGUCCCUCUCUGUUCCAAAUCCAUACUGUACUGAUUUCGGUUACUGUCGCAUCAUGACUACUUUUUAAAGAGGAUUUUAUUUUUAAAAAAAUAGGGACGAGGAAAGAGUGCCUGCAACCAGUUCGUUAUUCUAGGAAAUGCCUCCUCCACCCCCUUUCCUAACUUCCUACCCAAUUAACCGACUUUUACAGUGUAAAUACCUUGCUAAACGGAGCACUAACCUUCGCACUGUUCAGGCUAAACGAAGGCUAUACAGGUUAACCGAGGUGAUAUUUGAGCUACAGCCGAAAUGUUAUGUAACAAAAAGACAACGUGUUCCGUGUUUCUAACGAGCUAUAGGAACACGAGUGGAUUAGGAGAACAAGAAAUUUGGGAACACUAGCCGACGGGCGAGUGUUGUCACAGCUUUUGCGAGUUCUCCCUAGCUACGUUGCGAGACACAGAUUCCGUUUUCUUUCUGUUCGGUGAGAGAAUGGCCCGAUUUAUACUGGAGACGGAUCAACCGUGUGGGACGAGCUUGGGCAAAGAACGGUAGGUCGUCUGAUAAUCCGUAUGUGUAUAAAUACGGGCAAGCAGACGGAUCAUCCGUCUUGACGAGUUAUUCACAUUAAAUGGUUCGUCUCACAAGACGGACUAUCGCGAUAGCUCGUGUGGAUGGAUGCUGCUUGCCCGUAUUUAUACACAGACGGAUUAUCAGACGACCUACCGUUCUUUGCCCAAGCUCGUCUCACACGGAUGAUCCGCCUCCCGUACUUCGGGCCAAUCUCGAUCUCCCUCGCAGGUUAAGUUCUCCUACGCGGAAAUUUUAUGAUCCCCUCGAGCCGUCGAGAGCCUCCUACAGGUGGGAAAGAGGACCGGGCACAUUGUAGAGACAUUGUGUUGUGCUUUUCAGGGCAAGACACAAUUUACUCUCUCAGUUUUAUACUCAAGAACACUGCGGUACUACGUACAAAUAAUUAUCAAAAUUAUAGGCUGAAUCAACCAAUAUUUUUGCGUUUGAAGUAUUUUUUGGGUGAUUUUACCCAAGAUCAACAAAAAAGAAAUCACCUAUAAUUGUAAUCAUCCGUGAAUAAAUUUGCACAUUUGUUUUUCCUCUCACGUUUUGCGAAUCGCAAAAUAACUACUACGUUCGCCGUACUGGCGGAAAAAAUCCUCAAUCUCAAAAAUAACCGCCGUUUUUCUCUGUCGUUCCCGGAUCCGGGGCUCAUACUAGGAGGACAACUUCAUCUGGAUUGGAUUCCGACUACGUGAUAAAAAUUUUUGUGUAUUUUUUUUUUUUCGAAGAAAACGAAAGCGCACAAAGACCUGCAAGCGACCCACAAGUACGCCGCGAAAACGCGGUUUAACUGUUGGUAUCGCGCGGUCUGUCGGGCGUGAUCACAUGACGUACGUGACAUGUUACAUUACCUUCUCGCUCAAAGCUGCCAUGUGCUUGAGGUCAAGAAGUUUUUUUCCUACUUUUUCAGCAAAAACGAAGCGUUUCUCGAUAGAUUUCGAACAGUGAACAUCUUGGCAGUUUACAAAGGAAAUAGUUAGCGUGAUUUGCAGCUGUGCAGCGAAGCGGAUAUCUGGCUCAUCUGGGCUUCAAGCGCUUGGACUUCGUAUUGUGUUUGUCAGUGACAGCGAUUCCAUGAAUUUUUGCUGCCUUCACAAGUCGUGGGUCUUGUGUUGUCGGAAGUAAAACGGCCUUGUUAUUUCCCUGAAAGAAAUCGGUGAAUGAUUGUGUGUGGACAGCAAGCCGUCUGAAAUAUAUCAUGGACGCGACUUAUGUUUUGAUGGGGAAUUAAGCCUUGAUGUUACUCAUAGUGUGACUCAUGGAUCCAUGUGAGUGUGGCCAUCAAGGAGACCUUGCUCGGCGUGCUGGAGAACUGAACCAAGCUGUUAUCCUUUUCACUCAUGGAAUACAGCAUACCCCUCCCAGCAGACCAAAUCUUGCUGCUGAGUUGCUUAGAGACAGAGCAGACUGCUAUUGGGACUUGCACCGUAAAGAGGAAGCAUGCAUGGACAUGAAAAGAGCUCUAGAGUU
rnacentral:lncRNA from 1 species